rnacentral:rRNA from 1 species
GCGAACAGAUGAGAAGCUUGCUUCUCUGAUGUUAGCGGCGGACGGGUGAGUAACACGUGGGUAACCUACCUAUAAGACUGGGAUAACUCCGGGAAACCGGGGCUAAUACCGGAUAAUAUUUUGAACCGCAUGGUUCAAUAGUGAAAGACGGUUUCGGCUGUCACUUAUAGAUGGACCCGCGCCGUAUUAGCUAGUUGGUAAGGUAAUGGCUUACCAAGGCGACGAUACGUAGCCGACCUGAGAGGGUGAUCGGCCACACUGGAACUGAGACACGGUCCAGACUCCUACGGGAGGCAGCAGUAGGGAAUCUUCCGCAAUGGGCGAAAGCCUGACGGAGCAACGCCGCGUGAGUGAUGAAGGUCUUCGGAUCGUAAAACUCUGUUGUUAGGGAAGAACAAAUUUGUUAGUAACUGAACAAGUCUUGACGGUACCUAACCAGAAAGCCACGGCUAACUACGUGCCAGCAGCCGCGGUAAUACGUAGGUGGCAAGCGUUAUCCGGAAUUAUUGGGCGUAAAGCGCGCGUAGGCGGUUUCUUAAGUCUGAUGUGAAAGCCCACGGCUCAACCGUGGAGGGUCAUUGGAAACUGGGAAACUUGAGUGCAGAAGAGGAGAGUGGAAUUCCAUGUGUAGCGGUGAAAUGCGCAGAGAUAUGGAGGAACACCAGUGGCGAAGGCGGCUCUCUGGUCUGUAACUGACGCUGAUGUGCGAAAGCGUGGGGAUCAAACAGGAUUAGAUACCCU